CGUUUGCUUAGCAUUAAUUAAAAUUUUUCCACGAUGUCCUGAAUAUUCAAGACCCUGGAGAUAAAGUGAUGUUAAUGUUCGCACUCAGGCAGCCCUGGAUCUCUGUCUGGACCGCUGACAGCCUCUGACAACAGCUAAAUUACUCCUUGGAAAUCAAUAAAAUAUUUCCAUUUUGAUGCUUAUUUAUUGUGUCCUGAUAUAUUCUCUUGAUGCUACAGUAAAUAUUUGACAUAUCAUUAGAACUUUCCUCAGAAAUAUGGAGAGUAACUGGAGUUGGCUGCCACAACAAAGAUGCAUGCUUUACCCCAUACUGCAAUUCAGUUUCCUGGGAAAUCGACUCUGAGGCAUUGAUUCAUGUGCAGGAAAUUUACUGGGUAGUGCUGUUAAGGUGAAUACCUGUGGCAACGUGAAGGCAGAGAGGCAGGUUGAGAAAGAAGGAGUCAGAACCAAGGCCUCAGCUAAUUCCCUGGGGCUGGGGGUGGGGGUGAGGGAGUUUUGGACCUGAGUGGCUGUACAGAGUUGCCCCCCAUUGAAGAAAGGGGAAUAGUCCUUUAUACCUAUGUGCUGACCCAGGCUGGAUGGAGGUUGUACCCAGGAAGGGGACUGACCUUGGACAAGUGGGCUCUCUUCAGGAAAUACCAACAAAUAAAAUAUAAAAUAAACUCAUAUUCCCAUUUAUGUGCAUUUGUUACAUGUUUGCUACCCAGAUUUCAGCUUUAACAUUCAUCACCACCUUCUAAGACUAUCUUCUAAGAUAGGUACCACCAUUUUACACAUGAAGAAACUAAGGCCCAGAGAAUUUAAAUAACUUGUUAGAGGAGUUCCCGUCGUGGCUCAGUGGUUAACAAAUCCGACUAGGAACCAUGAGGUUGCAUGUUUGAUCCCCAGCCUUGUUCAGUGGGUUAAAGAGCUGUGGUAUAGGUCAUAGACGCAGCUUGGAUCCCACGUUGCUAUGGCUGUGGUGUAGGCCGGCAGCUACAGCCUGGGAAUCUCCAUAUGCCACAGGUACGGCGAUACAAAAGACAAAAAGACAAUAAAUAAGUAAAUAAAUAAAUAAAUAAACUUGUUAGAAAUUGACAGAGCUAAGAUAUGAACUCAGGUGUUUUUGGAGUUCCCGUCAUGGUGCAGUGGAAACAAAUCCAACUUGGAACCAUGAGGUUGCGGGUUUGAUCCCUGGCCUCUCUCAGUGGGUUAAGGAUCUGGCAUUUCCGUGAGCUGUGGUGUAGGUCACACAUGUGGCUCGGAUCUGGUGUUGCUGUAGCUCUGGCUUAGGCCAGCAGCAACAGCUCUGAUUAGACCCUUAG
rnacentral:lncRNA from 1 species